rnacentral:rRNA from 1 species
CCCCUAGAUGUUCUGGGCCGCACGCGCGCUACACUGAACAGUUCAACAAGUCUUAACCUUGGCCGAUAGGUCUGGGUAAUCUUUGAACGUUGUUCGUGAUUGGGAUAGACCUUUGCAAUUAUGGGUCUUCAACGAGGAAUUCCUAGUAAACGCAAGUCAUCAGCUUGCAUUGAUUACGUCCCUGCCCUUUGUACACACCGCCCGUCGCACCUACCGAUUGAAUGGUCCGGUGAAAUCUCGGGACGGCGGCUUGGUCGCUUGCGUCCGACUGCUGAAACUUGAUUAAACCAUAUCAUUUAGAGGAAGGUGAANUCGUAACA